GAUGAAGAACGUAGCGAAAUGCGAUAAGUAAUGUGAAUUGCAGAAUUCAGUGAAUCAUCGAAUCUUUGAACGCACAUUGCGCCCCCUGGUAUUCCGGGGGGCAUGCCUGCCCGAGCGUCAUUACAACCCUCAAGCUCAGCUUGGUGUUGGGCCCCGCCGCCCCGGCGGGCCCUAAAGUCAGUGGCGGUGCCGUCCGGCUCCGAGCGUAGUAAUUCUUCUCGCUCUGGAGGUCCGGUCGUGUGCUCGCCAGCAACCCCCAAUUUUUUUCAGGUUGACCUCGGAUCAGGUAGGGAUACCCGCUGAACUUAAGCAUAUCAAUAAGCGGAGGA
rnacentral:misc_RNA from 1 species